CUGCUCGCUUCCGCGGCACACAUAUUAAAAUUGGAACAACACAGAGAAGAUUAGCCUGGCCCCUGCACAAGGACGAAACACAAACUCGUGAAGUGGUCCAUAUUUUU
ensembl:snRNA U6 U6 spliceosomal RNA